AGCGAACGCUGGCGGCAGGCCUAACACAUGCAAGUCGAGCGCCGUGGCAAUACGGAGCGGCAGACGGGAGAGUAACACGUGGGAACGUACCCUUCAGUACGGAACAAUCAAGGGAAACUUUGGCUAAUACCGUAUACGUCCGUAAGGAGAAAGAUUUAUCGCUGAAGGAUCGGCCCGCGUCUGAUUAGCUUGUUGGUGAGGUAACAGCUCACCAAGGCGACGAUCAGUAGCUGGUCUGAGAGGAUGAUCAGCCUCACUGGGACUGAGACACGGCCCAGACUCCUACGGGAGGCAGCAGUGGGGAAUAUUGGACAAUGGGCGCAAGCCUGAUCCAGCCAUGCCGCGUGGGUGAUGAAGGCCCUAGGGUUGUAAAGCCCUUUCGGCGGGGAAGAUAAUGACGGUACCCGCAGAAGAAGCCCCGGCUAACUUCGUGCCAGCCGCCGCAGUAACAC
rnacentral:rRNA from 1 species